CACCUCCAGAGUGCUGAACAGUUCCUGGCUGCCUGCCCCACCAGGCAACCCCACUGGGAGCUCCACAUUGUUGUCUAACUCCACCUCUUCAUCAAUGACUUCGUCCUCUGGGUAAGGUCCUCUUUCCGCCACCUCCAGGCCCGCCUAAGUAUCCACUGGGCUCUUGGCAGUGGAGGUGGGACAGCCACAGAGGAUAACAUCCAGCUCCUUAUAGAACCAGCAGGUCUCAGGUGCAGCACCGGAGCGACGGCUUGCCUUCCUCACCUUAUGGUAUGCCUGCCUUAGCUCCUUUAUCUUCACUCUGCACUGUAGCGUUUGCUGAUCAUAGCCCUUUUGCACAAGCCUCGAGAGAUCUGCCUGUAGGUAUCAAAAUUCCUAUGGCUCAAGCACAGCUGCGACUGCACAGCCUCCUCUCUGCAUAUACUUAUCUGAUACAACAACUCCACAGUGGUCCAAGCAGGACAGCGUUUGCUGCGAUAACCUGCCAUGGUCAAGAUGCGAUGAGACCUCUCCAUGCUGAGGCAACAGGAAAUGUAAUUUCAAAAAUUCCCAGGCCUUCUAAGGGGGAGGGGCAGAUGGUUAUUUACCUAGCUGCAAGGAAGUGAAGUUCAAACUGCUGACCAAAGCGGUCAGAUUGGGCAUUGUGGGACACCUCCUGGAGGCCAGUUAGACCUAUCUGUAGUCAGAGUCACAGCAGUAGUGUCAGCAGAAUAGUCAAGAAUAAAAUGGGCACAGAAACAAGCCUCUCAACUCUAUCCAGAGCCCAAAGGCAAUGUGGAGCCUCAUCAAAUUCCACUGGGCUCCUCCUAGGGACAGGGUCUGCCUUUGUGGCACUCAUCGCAGGAUUGGGGCCAGAUUCACAAAAUAAUGUAUCAGUUAAUCAUUUCAUUUGAAGGGUCUGAAUUUUUUGUGAUUGUUAAAAUUCACCAGACCCCCUCUGCUUUCUUCAGCCCACUUGUUAUUGGUAAAUGUAUAGAUGUUCAGUUUUAUAUGAAUGUGAACACUUGCAGCAGCUGUUUUGUCCUUUUUAACUUGAAACAGCAAGUCCCUGGAGUUUUCUCAAUUUACUAACUCCUCCAAUUUAACCUACCACAGUUUCUGAGUGAGCUCAUUGACAUCAAUGCCACCUACAUCACAUAAAAACCUCUAUGGAUUCAUCACAGACUAGGGACACUUUUGUGGGUCAGCAAAGCCUCUACAUAUGUGCUUAACUUUUAAGCAUCCAAACUUAGCAAAGCACUUAAGGACAUGCUUAAGAGACUCUAAAAGCAACCCAGUAUCUUAGUAUGAAAACUUAAGAUCAAGUCCUGCUCUUACUGAAGUGCAUGGGGAAAUUCCUUGCCUUGCCACUACUCUCCUUCCAAAAUUACCCAGGGAAGAGGCACCUGCUGUGGUGUGAUGAAAUAGACUCUCUUAAAAAGACACACUGCAUUAUGAUCAGACACAGCCAACCAACACUGAAAUUUUCAACUACCUGCAGCACUGUGGAUCAAACAGAUACUCUAUUUGUAAAAUUUUCUUAUACCAUAGGAUCAAGCCACCAGCCUGGCCUUGUCAUAGAACCCCAAGUGCAAUCCCAAAUCAGAGGUAACUUGUUAUAAGGAUGGCCAAGAUGUUAGAAGGCUGAAUGAUUUUUCUAAAUAUGAAGUACUGGAGGAUAACCAGGUUCACACCUUUUACAUUUGUUUAGAUGGCAAACCUUUUACUACAUCACACCAUCAGAUGUACAUGCUGCGACCCUCUUGACUGAUAUUCAUUGCUCUAUGCAUUUCCAGGAGUUUUCUUAUUUGGAUAUCACAUUUUUUCUUCUCCUUUUGAUUCUAUUUUAUCACUCCAGCAGUGUAUCAUAUUACUGGUA